ACGUAGGGUGCGAGCGUUAAUCGGAAUUACUGGGCGUAAAGCGUGCGCAGGCGGUUCGCUAAGACACGUGUGAAAUCCCCGGGCUUAACCUGGGAAUGGCGCUUGAGUCUGGCGGGCUGGAGUACGGCAGAGGGGGGUGGAAUUCCACGUGUAGCAGUGAAAUGCGUAGAGAUGUGGAGGAACAUCAGUGGCGAAGGCGGCCCCCUGGACCGAUACUGACGCUCAUGCACGAAAGCGUGGGGAGCAAACAG
rnacentral:rRNA from 1 species